rnacentral:rRNA from 1 species
CAAUAGCGUAUAUUAAAGUUGUUGCAGUUAAAACGCUCGUAGUCGGAUUUCGGGGCGGGCCUGCCGGUCUGCCGUUCGGUACGUACUGGCGGGCGCGUCCUUCCUUUCGGAGACCGCGCCUCCUCUUAACUGAGCGGGCGCGGGAGACGGAUCGUUUACUUUGAAAAAAUCAGAGUGUUUCAAGCAGGCAGCUCGCUCUUGCAUGGAUUAGCAUGGGAUAAUGAAAUAGGACUCUGGUGCUAUUUUGUUGGUUUCGAACACCGGAGUAAUGGUCAACAGGGACAGUCAGGGGCACUCGUAUUCCGCCGAGAGAGGUGAAAUUCUCAGACCAGCGGAAGACGAACCACUGCGGAAGCAUUUGCCAGGGAUGUUUUCACUGA